CCGGGGUCUUCGGCGAGGAGACUGCAGACCUGCGAUGGCUGAGCCUCCCUGGAGAAUCCACGGGCAACUGGAGCUCAGCAAACCAACUCGGAGCAUUUCCUGCACGUGAAUGUCCACAGGGAACGCUGUGUGAAUGUGAGUGCUUUCCACAGAGAGGAGGUGGCAUCUGCUAACUGGAGGGCUGGCAGCACAUGGAACCUCCUCGUAAUGGAUUCUUAAACUUGGAACCAUGGCCAACGAGCUAUAAGACAGGAAGAGACUGGAGAGUUGCUCGGAGUGAUGAAGAAUGCCAAUGCCAAUGGAUUGUUCUAGAGGGAGACUGGAGGCGGAGAGAAGACUCUGAGGAUGGGCUGCUUUGCUAAUAUCAAUCUGCUCUGGGCUCCCUGAGGACAGUGAUCAUAUCUUAACCACCUUUGUGUCAUCAGAGGCUAACCCAGUCAAUGCUUUUUAAAUGAAGAAGAUUGCCAGGCAAGGGCCACCACGACAGGAUGCCACAGGGAUAAACUUAGUGUGAAGAGGCUCCGGAGGGUUCUUCAUAAUAAGACAGUGUGGUGCCAUCGCUUCCUAGCUGUGUGAUAACAGGAAACUGACUUAGCUCCUCUGUGUCUGUGUUCUCCAUGACAAGAGCGGGGUCACAACAGCGUCUGCUUCAUAGAGCUGCUGCAAGGAUGCAGAUGAGUGUAAGUGCAGGAGAGUGGGGUUCCUGCUUUCUGAACAUCUUAGUCUGUGGCCGUGGCCCUCUCCUCUCCCCACACCCCUUCCCUUUCGCUCGGCCUCCGCCCCCACUCCUUCAGAUCCCAACUUGGAUGCCGCUUUCUCCUGCGAGUGUCCCCGGCUCCCCCACGUCUGUGGGCCGUGCCGCUGGGCUGUCUUCCCACAGGACCCUGGCCUUCCUCCGUCGCACACUCAUCUCACUGUGGCAUAAUUCCUUCUUAAUAAGUCAAUAAGUGGAGCAAGAAUGGUAACAUUUGUUGAGCCAAGGACUCUGUGCCAAGGACUAUGGCAAGUUCUCACAAGCGGUGUCCUCAUCCAUCCUCAUCAUGACUCUAGGAGACAAGGCUUUAUUAUUUCCACUUUACAAAUGAGGAAAUGGGACAAAAUAGAUUCAGUAAAUUGUCCAAGAUCGCCCAGCCAGCGAGUUUCAGGACUGAGCUCCAGACCCAGCUCUAAUUUUGGUCUAUAUUCUUAACACCGUGCUAAAUGGCCUCUGCUCCAACUCCCAUCAGGCCCUAACAGGGGUGUCCCACCUGUAGUCUGCGGACCGCAUGCCGCCCAGGAUGGCUAUGAACGCAGCCCAACACGAAAUCAUUAAUUUACUUCAAACAUUAUGAGAUUUUUUUUGUCAUUACAUGUCGCAAUGUAUUUAAUGUGUGGCUCAAGACAACUCCUCUUCUUCCAGUGUGAUGCAGAGAUGCCAA